rnacentral:rRNA from 1 species
UACAGAGGGGGCAAGCGUUGUUCGGAAUCACUGGGCGUAAAGGGCGCGUAGGCGGCCGAUCAAGUCGGGGGUGAAAGCCUGUGGCUCAACCACAGAAUUGCCUUCGAUACUGUUUGGCUUGAGACCGGAAGAGGUUAGUGGAACUGCGAGUGUAGAGGUGAAAUUCGUAGAUAUUCGCAAGAACACCAGUGGCGAAGGCGGCUGACUGGUCCGGUUCUGACGCUGAGGCGCGAAAGCGUGGGGAGCAAACAGG